UGCUAUACAUGCAAGUCGAACGCUUCUUUUUCCACCGGAGCUUGCUCCACCGGAAAAAGAGGAGUGGCGAACGGGUGAGUAACACGUGGGUAACCUGCCCAUCAGAAGGGGAUAACACUUGGAAACAGGUGCUAAUACCGUAUAACAAUCGAAACCGCAUGGUUUUGAUUUGAAAGGCGCUUUCGGGUGUCGCUGAUGGAUGGACCCGCGGUGCAUUAGCUAGUUGGUGAGGUAACGGCUCACCAAGGCGACGAUGCAUAGCCGACCUGAGAGGGUGAUCGGCCACAUUGGGACUGAGACACGGCCCAAACUCCUACGGGAGGCAGCAGUAGGGAAUCUUCGGCAAUGGACGAAAGUCUGACCGAGCAACGCCGCGUGAGUGAAGAAGGUUUUCGGAUCGUAAAACUCUGUUGUUAGAGAAGAACAAGGAUGAGAGUAACUGUUCAUCCCUUGACGGUAUCUAACCAGAAAGCCACGGCUAACUACGUGCCAGCAGCCCGCGGUAAAA
rnacentral:rRNA from 1 species